rnacentral:sRNA from 1 species
GUAUAUGGUAAAUGGCCAUGAUGUUGU